rnacentral:rRNA from 1 species
CUGCUAAUACCGAAUGUGCCGAGAGGUGAAAGCUUUAGUGCCUGAAGAUGAGCUCGCGUCUGAUUAGCUAGUUGGUGGUGUAAUGGACCACCAAGGCGACGAUCAGUAGCUGGUCUGAGAGGAUGAUCAGCCACACUGGGACUGAGACACGGCCCAGACUCCUACGGGAGGCAGCAGUGGGGAAUUUUCCGCAAUGGGCGAAAGCCUGACGGAGCAAGACCGCGUGAGGGAGGAAGGCCUACUGGUUGUAAACCUCUUUUGAUAGGGAAGAACACAAUGACGGUACCUAUCGAAUCAGCAUCGGCUAACUCCGUGCCAGCAGCCGCGGUAAUACGGAGGAUGCAAGCGUUAUCCGGAUUUAUUGGGCGUAAAGCGUCCGUAGGUGGAUGGCCAAGUCAGUUGUUAAAGCGUGGAGCUUAACUCCAUAACGGCAAUUGAAACUGGUGGUCUAGAGUGCGACAGGGGCAAGGGGAAUUCCCAGUGUAGCGGUGAAAUGCGUAGAUAUUGGGAAGAACAUCGGUGGCGAAAGCGCCUUGCUGGGUCUGCACUGACACUGAGGGACGAAAGCUAGGGGAGCGAAAGGGAUUAGAU